UCUCGGUGAUGAACAAUCUAAGAUGACGAGUCCGAUCGAAAUCCAUUCGUUAUAAAAUCGUGACGACGAAACGAGGCAUUUGUCUGAGAGAA
rfam:Erythranthe guttata cultivar DTN x IM62 scaffold_11_contig_37, whole genome shotgun sequence.